rnacentral:rRNA from 1 species
ACGGAGGGUGCGAGCGUUAAUCGGAGUUACUGGGCGUAAAGCGCGCGUAGGCGGUUUUGUAAGUCGGAUGUGAAAGCCCUGGGCUUAACCUGGGAAUUGCAUUCGAUACUGCAUAACUAGAGUACGGUAGAGGGAAGUGGAAUUCCGGGUGUAGCGGUGAAAUGCGUAGAUAUCCGGAGGAACACCAGUGGCGAAGGCGACUUCCUGGGCCAGUACUGACGCUGAGGUGCGAAAGCGUGGGGAGCAAACAGG